UAAAAGAUAAGCUAAAUAAGCUAGUGGGUUCAUACCCCAUAUAUAAAGGUUUCAGUCCUUUUCUUUUUA
rnacentral:tRNA from 1 species